CCCUACGGGGGGCAGCAGUCGGGAAUUUUGGGCAAUGGGCGAAAGCCUGACCCAGCAACGCCGCGUGAGGGAUGAAGGCCUUCGGGUCGUAAACCUCUUUUCUCAGGGACGAUAAUGACGGUACCUGAGGAAUAAGCCACGGCUAACUACGUGCCAGCAGCCGCGGUAAUACGUAGGUGGCGAGCGUUGUCCGGAUUUACUGGGCGUAAAGAGCGCGCAGGCGGUCGUACAAGUCGAAUGUGAAAGCCCCCGGCUCAACUGGGGAGGGUCAUUCGAUACUGUUCGACUCGAAGGCAGGAGAGGGAAGUGGAAUUCCCGGUGUAGUGGUGAAAUGCGUAGAUAUCGGGAGGAACACCAGUGGCGAAGGCGACUUCCUGGCCUGUUCUUGACGCUGAGGCGCGAAAGCUAGGGGAGCAAACGGGAUUAGAUACCCCGGUAGUCCA
rnacentral:rRNA from 1 species